GAGAGAGAGAGAGAGGUGGCGUGGUCGAGAGAGAGAGAGAGAGAGAGAGAGAGUGGUGGCGUGGUCGAGAGAGAGAGAGAGGUGGCGUGGUCGAGAGAGAGAGAGAGAGAGGCGUGGUCGAGAGAGAGAGAGAGUGGUGGCGUGGUCGAGAGAGAGAGAGAGAGAGAGAGGUGGCGUGGUCGAGAGAGAGAGAGAGAGAGAGGUGGCGUGGUCGAGAGAGAGAGAGAGAGAGGUGGCGUGGUCGAGAGAGAGAGAGAGAGAGAGAGAGAGAGAGGUGGCGUGGUCGGGAGAGAGAGAAAGAGAGAGGUGGCGUGGUCGAGAGAGAGAGAGAGGUAGAGGUGGCGUGGUCAGGAGAGAGAGAGAGGUGGCGUGGUCGAGAGAGAGAGAGUGGUGGCGUGGUCGGGAGAGAGAUAGAGUGUGGUGGCGUGGUCGAGAGAGAG
ensembl:lncRNA